CCAGUGCAGCAGCAACAGCACAUGAUGGAGACGAUGAUGAUGAUGAGGAGGAGACCAUCUCUCUGGAUUCCAGAAGGCAUGAGGUAUCAUGGUAAGACUGUGAAAGUACUAUUUACUCUACAAUGGUGAGGAGUCCUCAUCAAAAUCAAAAAUCUCAUUUCUUUUACAGGACCCAGAUGCUAUACAGUGGGAAAACCAGCCUGGCAACAUAAGCUCACAAGCUAUCAGAAAGUUGUAUGGCAACCACCUCCGGCGCCAAAUAGAACUGGCAGACAUAGACAUUCAGUACAAGAAGAAAAAGAUGGAAAAUCUUGCACUGGAGUCCGAAAUAAAAAAGAGGACAAUUAGAAACUGGACCUUGAAAUAAAAAAACUUGAGAGGGAGCUCCAAGAAGAUGACACAGCUCAAAAUAAAAAUUAGGUAUAUUCUCGUAAAGUCAAGUGAGCCAUGACAUAUGAGCUCUUAUUGUGAGCACACAGGACGGUGGCAUCUUUCUAAGGUUUUUUUUAUUUUCCCAGCAAUCAGUACAACCAAGGCAUCGCCCUCUUUUGCCCACCCCCCAGCACCAGGUGUGGCCACUAGCCUAUAUGAAGGCCCAAAAUUGUGUGUUCCUUUCUGCUCUGACAAUGGCAUGCCCAUUCGUGCGAGAUGUGGUGGAUGAAGAAGCACUUGUGCUGAGGAGAGCCUUCAGGCGAGAAAGGGUCUUCAGGGACCGGUUGGACCCACUGGCCUUCCCUGACGACCAUCUAUAUGAAAGAUACAGGUUUUCUGCAGAUGGCAUCAGGUAUCUAUGCAGACUACUGGGUCCCAGAAUUAAGCACCGCACUGCACGGAGCCAUGCACUGAGUGUGGAGCAAAUGGUUUGUGUGGCCUUGCGCUUUUUGCUAGUGGAACCUUCCUGUACUCAGUGGGGGAUGCAGAACAGCUGAAUAAGGCCACAAUUUGCCGCACAAUAAGGAGUGUGUGUCUGGCUAUCAAAGCAUUAGCAGAUGUCUUCAUCUCCUUCCCUGGCCACAGAAGACUCUGUGACAUCAAAGAGGAGUUCUAUAGGAUUGCAGGUAAGAGGAUCUACAAAUUACAGGACAACUGUUAACACAUAGUAGGAUACUCAUUACUUUGUGUGACAGGUUUCCCCAAUGUCAUUGGUGCAGUGGA